UUUGGCUCAAGUGGUUAGAGCGCCCGUCUCAGAUGCGGGAGGUCCUGUGUUCGAACCUUCCGAGUCACACCAAAAAAA